rnacentral:rRNA from 1 species
GAUGAACGCUAGCUACAGGCUUAACACAUGCAAGUCGAGGGGAAACGGCAUUAAGUGCUUGCACUUUUUGGACGUCGACCGGCGCACGGGCGAGUAACGCGUAUCCAACCUUCCCAUGACUAAGGGAUAACCUGCCGAAAGGCAGACUAAUACCUUAUGGUCUUCACUGACGGCAUCAGAUGUGAAGUAAAGAUUUAUCGGUUAUGGAUGGGGAUGCGUCUGAUUAGCUUGUUGGCGGGGUAACGGCCCACCAAGGCAACGAUCAGUAGGGGUUCUGAGAGGAAGGUCCCCCACAUUGGAACUGAGACACGGUCCAAACUCCUACGGGAGGCAGCAGUGAGGAAUAUUGGUCAAUGGGCGAGAGCCUGAACCAGCCAAGUAGCGUGCAGGAUGACGGCCCUAUGGGUUGUAAACUGCUUUUGUAUGGGGAUAAAGUCAAUCACGUGUGAUUGUUUGCAGGUACCAUACGAAUAAGGACCGGCUAAUUCCGUG